rnacentral:rRNA from 1 species
UGGGGAAUUUUGGACAAUGGGCGCAAGCCUGAUCCAGCCAUGCCGCGUGCGGGAAGAAGGCCUUCGGGUUGUAAACCGCUUUUGUCAGGGAAGAAAUCUUCUGAGUUAAUACCUCGGGAGGAUGACGGUACCUGAAGAAUAAGCACCGGCUAACUACGUGCCAGCAGCCGCGGUAAUACGUAGGGUGCAAGCGUUAAUCGGAAUUACUGGGCGUAAAGCGUGCGCAGGCGGUUUUGUAAGACAGAGGUGAAAUCCCCGGGCUCAACCUGGGAACUGCCUUUGUGACUGCAAGGCUUGAGUGCGGCAGAGGGGGAUGGAAUUCCGCGUGUAGCAGUGAAAUGCGUAGAUAUGCGGAGGAACACCGAUGGCGAAGGCAAUCCCCUGGGCCUGCACUGACGCUCAUGCACGAAAGCGUGGGGAGCAAACAGGAUUAGAUACCCUGGUAGUCCACGCCCUAAACGAUGUCAACUGGUUGUUGGGAAGGUUCCUUCUCAGUAACGUAGCUAACGCGUGAAGUUGACCGCCUGGGGAGUACGGCCGCAAGGUUGAAACUCAAAUGAAUUGACGGGGUCAUAGCUGUUUCCU